rnacentral:tRNA from 2 species
UCUCGAUUGGUCUAGUGGUCAGGAUACCUGCUUGUCAUCGAACAAGUUCGCAGGUGGCCGGGGUUCGAUUCCCCGAUCGAGAG